CCCUUAGAUGUUCUGGGCCGCACGCGCGCUACACUGUUCGACGCAGCGAGUCUUAACCUUGACCGAAAGGUUUGGGUAAUCUUCAGCAAAGUCGAACGUGAUGGGGAUCGAUCAUUGCAAUUAUUGAUCGUGAACGAGGAAUUCCUAGUAAGUGCAAGUCAUCAGCUUGCGCUGAUUACGUCCCUGCCCUUUGUACACACCGCCCGUCGCUACUACCGAUUGAAUGGUUUAGUGAGACCCUCGGAUCCGUCCCGGCGCGGCCGUUCGCGGCCGCGCCGGCGCGCGGAGAAGACGGUCGAACUUGAUCAUUUAGAGGAAGUAAAAGUCGUAACA
rnacentral:rRNA from 1 species